GUGAAGCAGCUGUCAAGGCGGAAAAGUCCAAGCUGGAACUGAGCUCCCCUGACCUCAGCCUGCAAUGCUUCUGCUGUCUACUGACGCUACAGGACACACUGGGGGACACAACACCCCCUAGUUUUCUUCCUGGAGUCCCCGAGGAACUGGCGGGUGGUGUGACCGUCUCCCAAGAAGGGCGGGUUGUCUCCAGGUGGGAGGUGACAGAUGCAGCUAGACCAGGCUCAGGAAAGUAGGCAGCAGGCCACACUGGCACCUUUGCCAGAGUCACAGUGAUUCUUUCUAAGCCCAAACAUCCAGAGACACCUGCUCCCAAGCCUCGCGGGGUAGAGAGAGCUCACAGUGAGUCAGCACCAGGUUUCCUUGGAAAAUUAAGAUGGGACAAUAAGUGCGAGACAUUCUCAGGGGCAAUUUGCCCCAACCUCUCAGACCUGCAUCCAUGCUGUGGAGGGGACAGCAGAGCCAGGGAAUAGCAGAAGUGCAGGGAAUGCCCUGGCAAGUCCCGGUGUGUGUGUGGUGACUCCAGGGACAUUGUACAGUGGCAAAACCAGUGGUUGGUAACUGAUUAUUCACUGGGCUCUUCACAGUUCACGAUUACCCACCUACCCCAUAAAAUCAUCCAUCCAUAGCCUUGCAUGCCCACCCACUUCCAAGCCUUUCAUUCAUUCAUUUCUCUAUCUGUCUAACACCAUCCACCCAGCACAUGGUUCUCUGUGGGAUUCUGGAUAUGAGGCCAGGAGCAAAACCCCAGAGGGAUGGAUAAACCUGAGAAAGUCUGAGAAAGGGAAUGUGGUGCGGGAGCUUCCAGGAGGGGCAGCAGGACCCCAAGGAAGAACCACUUGAUUCCACCCCAGACAGUUCAAGAAGGCUUCCCGGGCAAGGAACACUCGGCUUGGCCCUGAAGGAGAAGCGGGGCCUUGAGGAGCUGGGGGAAGGAGCCCUGGCCGAUGAGCCUGGCAGUGAUGCAGGCUGGCUGGGGACACCAGAGAGCCUGCAGCACAGGGGGAGUGAGGACAUCAGGGAGGUCCGGAGUGCUUAGACAGAGUGCCCAGGGUGACCCCACGGAGCCCCAUCUCGACUGCGCGCCCUUUACCUGACCCAGCAUGCUUGGUGACACCAUGGGGUCUCCAGGGUUCUCACCCUCUGGUGGACCCCGUGUCACUGAAGUCAGGGGGCGCAGACAGGUGCGGUCAGAAGGACCAGGAGCCGAGCCCAGGUGGGGGUGCUGCUUGUGGGGAGGAGCGGGGAAGGGAACCUCGGAGAUCGUUUUCACCUGCCACCUGCUCUGCCCCGCCCAGUGAUGGAAAAUGUGUGUCAGAGGAAGCUGUGCUGGGGACACGGGAAGGGCGAAGGGCGGGCAGACCGUCCCGCGAAAGUGUCCUCAAGCCUCGGAAGCCGCAGCCAAGUCUUGCUCAACUGUUUGUGCAGCAAGCGCUGUCUGCUGGGAUGCGAGGAAACAGGGCAGCCCUUUCCUCCCCAGAGAGAUGCACAGCCUAGAAAGGGCAGAAACAACUGAGACGGUCAUCCGCUUGAUGCCCAGAGAUGGAAAACAGCCACCAGCUCAUGGUUCCAGGCAAAUCAGAGGCCCUUAGUCAUUUACCUGCUGUAGUGGACUGAUAACUGGUGGUCAGUUUGUAACCCCCAGCUGAACUGAGUGAGUGGUGCUGGGUGUGGGAGG